CUGACACGAGUUGUUGCUGGUCUCCAAACGGGGGCAUGUGCACGCUCUGUUUGUGCAUCCACUCACACCUGUGCACCUUCUGUAGUUCUGUGGCCUGGGGGACUUGUCCCUCCUGCCGUGGUUCUGCAUCUUUACACUCACGCCGUGAUAAAGUCUAAUGGAAUGCAUGCCGCGUUUAACGCAAUACAAUACAACUUUCAGCAACGGAUCUCUUGGCUCUCGCAUCGAUGAAGAACGCAGCGAAAUGCGAUAAGUAAUGUGAAUUGCAGAAUUCAGUGAAUCAUCGAAUCUUUGAACGCACCUUGCGCCCUUUGGCUAUUCCGAAGGGCAUGCCUGUUUGAGUAUCAUGAACAUCUCAACUCCUCACGGUUCGCCUGUGAUGAGCUUGGACUUUGGGGGUCUUGCUGGCCUGCGGGUCGGCUCCUCUCAAAUGAAUCAGCUUGCCGGUGUUUGGUGGCGUCACAGGUGUGAUAACUAUCUACGCUUGUGGUUUUCCACCAGGUAACCUCCAGCAAUGGGGGUUCACUGGAGCUCACAAAUGUCUCUCCUCGGUGAGGACAGCUCUUUGAACGUUUGAUCUCAAAUCAGGUAGGACUACCCGCUGAACUUAAGCAUAUCAAUA
rnacentral:rRNA from 1 species